rnacentral:lncRNA from 1 species
ACCUGCGCAACAACAGUCUCCCUCAGAAAUACAACCAAUACAGCAUGGUCGAUCACAGAGGCAACGACGUCUACCGGCUCAUUUGGAGGAUUACGUUGUUGGUAAUGAUGUUAAUACUCUAACUGACGAAGAUAUUUUGAACUUUGCCUUGUUUCAGAUUGCGACCUGUGGAUUUCAAGGAUGCAAUUGAAGAAGAACGUUGGGUGAAAGCAAUGGAGGAGGAAAUC